rnacentral:rRNA from 1 species
AUUGAACGCUGGCGGCAUGCUUUACACAUGCAAGUCGAACGGCAGCACGGGGGCAACCCUGGUGGCGAGUGGCGAACGGGUGAGUAAUAUAUCGGAACGUACCCGGAAAUGGGGGAUAACGUAGCGAAAGUUACGCUAAUACCGCAUAUGCCCUGAGGGGGAAAGUGGGGGAUCGCAAGACCUCACGUUUUCGGAGCGGCCGACAUCAGAUUAGCUAGUUGGCGGGGUAAAGGCCCACCAAGGCAUCGAUCUGUAGCUGGUCUGAGAGGACGACCAGCCACACUGGGACUAGACACGGCCCAGACUCCUACGGGAGGCAGCAGUGGGGAAUUUUGGACAAUGGGGGCAACCCUGAUCCAGCCAUGCCGCGUGAGUGAAGAAGGCCUUCGGGUUGUAAAGCUCUUUCGGACAGAAAGAAAUCGCACGGGAUAACACCCUGUGUGGAUGACGGUACUGUAAGAAGAAGCACCGGCUAACUACGUGCCAGCAGCCGCGGUAAUACGUAGGGUGCGAGCGUUAAUCGGAAUUACUGGGCGUAAAGCGUGCGCAGGCGGUUUAUUAAGACAGAUGUGAAAUCCCCGGGCUCAACCUGGGAACUGCAUUUGUGACUGGUAGGCUAGAGUGUGGCAGAGGGGGGUAGAAUUCCACGUGUAGCAGUGAAAUGCGUAGAGAUGUGGAGGAAUACCGAUGGCGAAGGCAGCCCCCUGGGUUAACACUGACGCUCAUGCACGAAAGCGUGGGAAGCAAACAGGAUUAGAUACCCUGGUAGUCCACGCCCUAAACGAUGUCAACUAGGUGUUGGGGGAGGAGACUUCCUUAGUACCGCAGCUAACGCGUGAAGUUGACCGCCUGGGGAGUACGGCCGCAAGGUUU